GGCGAAUGUAGCCAAGUGGUUAAGGCAGU
rnacentral:tRNA from 1 species